GGGGAUAUGGCUCAGUGGCAAAGCACCUGCCUGGCAAGCAUGAAGUUGUGAGUUCAAAUCCUGAUACCA
rfam:Cavia porcellus supercont2_37 genomic scaffold, whole genome shotgun sequence.